CUGUCUGAAUCCCUCUCCCAUCUGUUUCUUCUUAGUCUCUUAAACAAAUCUGUAAUUGUUCGCUGUGGUUGUCACCGAGCUCGCCGGCGUAGGUCAUCGCUUGCGACCCAUCUUGAGCCCCUUGGUUGUCGUCGUCACCGAGCUCUGCCUCCAAUCUCAUAUCUCUAUUACAUAUCUGAAGCACCAUCUCCCCUCGUGCCAUCCAGGUAAUUGAACUUGCCGAGAUCCCCAUCUCCCUCGCGCUGGCUAGGUCACCGAGCUAGCGCCAUCCAUCUCAUCUAGCUCGCCGAGCUCGCCAUCUCCCUCAUGGAUGAGAACCGUGAGAAGAUGCUUUAAAUCUUUUACGACGCUCAAUAUUUCUUCCUUGUGUAUUUUUGGAGUCUUCCUAGCACUGCUGGAAACCAGCUUAGGAAUGUGUAUAGCAUACUUGAAUCUGAUCUCCAAAGCAGUAAGAAGCGUCAUGCAGAACUUGUUGAACAGUGUAAUGCCCUGAAGAAGGGAUAAACUUUUAUAUGAAGGAGAACGCUUAAUUCAACUUUUGUUUGUUCUUUCUUGGUUUCAGUAAUAUCUCUGCCGGUUAAUUUAAUUGAUAAUACAAUUAUUAUUAAAUCACCUGCAGAGCAGAAGCACUUAAUAAUCACUUGACUGCUGUCCAGCGAGACCAUGAAGUCAGAUCUUAAAUAGAAGAAAGAAAAAUAAGAAUUGAUGCAGCUUAUGAAGAUGCUAAAAGAAAGGAAAAAUCUCUGCAAGACAAGAACGAGCUAAAGCAGAAGCUGCGGUCUUUUUGUUUGGCCUUUUUAUAUCAUUACUGUUUUGUUGGUAAGUUUCUAGAUAUGGUGUGCAUGUAAUGGCCUCAUUAUGUUACUGCUUUCGAUAUUCUUUGUUGAAGUGUCGAAAAGGUUUUUUUGCAUUUCAAGUAAAAGCUAUUCCAGUGAACUUUGGGUAACUUGGUUAAUAACCAGGGUUCCACCCCAAUUAUGUAAGGAGAAUGUUUGUUAUGA